GUAGCUCAGUGGUAGAGUGCUUGCUUUGCAUGCCUGAGGCCCUGGGUUCGAUUCCCCAGC
rnacentral:tRNA from 1 species